GAUGAACGCUGGCGGCGUGCCUAAUACAUGCAAGUCGAGCGAACGGACGAGAAGCUUGCUUCUCUGAUGUUAGCGGCGGACGGGUGAGUAACACGUGGAUAACCUACCUAUAAGACUGGGAUAACUUCGGGAAACCGUAGCUAAUACCGGAUAAUAUUUUGAACCGCAUGGUUCAAAAGUGAAAGACGGUCUUGCUGUCACUUAUAGAUGGAUCCGCGCUGCAUUAGCUAGUUGGUAAGGUAACGGCUUACCAAGGCAACGAUGCAUAGCCGACCUGAGAGGGUGAUCGGCCACACUGGAAUUGAGACACGGUCCAGACUCCUACGGGAGGCAGCAGUAGGGAAUCUUCCGCAAUGGGCGAAAGCCUGACGGAGCAACGCCGCGUGAGUGAUGAAGGUCUUCGGAUCGCAAAACUCUGUUAUUAGGGAAGAACAUAUGUGUAAGUAACUGUGCACAUCUUGACGGUACCUAAUCAGAAAGCCACGGCUAACUACGUG
rnacentral:rRNA from 1 species